UGCUUCCCCUUCUGCCACGACUGUAGGUUUCUUGAGACCUCUCCAGCCACACUGAACUGAUUCAGGAGUGAGAAUGACGAGGAGAGCCCUCCACGAGAAGGGGCUGAAGACAGAGCCCCUCAGGAGGCUCCUGCCCAGGAGGGGCCUCCGGACAAAUGCCCGGCCCAGUUCCACGGCGGUGCCGGACACCAGAGCUCCCGGGGGAGGCAGCAAGGCCCCGAGGGCACCCAGAACAAUCCCCCAGGGUAAGGGGAGGUGAGUGGGCUCCCCAAGCAAGCCAAGGCCCCUAAAGCCUCCCUUGGCUGCCCCAAGAUCCAGCCACUACCUGUGCCCCGAGGGCGGAAAGAGCUUCCCAGCUCACCCACCGCGGUAACAUCGGGGGCGAGCGGCCCUACACCUGCCCGAACCUAAGGCCACAGCACCCAUCUGGCUCGCCACUGGCGCCCGAAUGCAUGGGAAGGGUUUAGGGCAGAACUUGGACCACAUCCAGCGCCUGAGGCCGCCUUGCUAGAGGCCCAGGGGAGGGGUGCACUAGGCUGCCUCACCCACCU
rnacentral:sRNA from 1 species